UACGGGGGGGAGCAAGCGUUGUUCGGAUUUACUGGGCGUAAAGGGCGCGUAGGCGGCGCAACAAGUCACUUGUGAAAUCUCCGGGCUUAACCCGGAGCGGCCAAGUGAUACUGUCGUGCUAGAGUGCGGAAGGGGCUACUGGAAUUCUCGGUGGUAGCGGUGAAAUGCGUAGAUAUCGAGAGGAACACCUGCGGCGAAGGCGGGUAGCUGGGCCGGAACACUGA
rnacentral:rRNA from 1 species